rnacentral:rRNA from 1 species
ACAUACGACCAUAUCCAGCUGAAAACUCGGGAUCCCGUCCGCUCUCCCCUGGAUAAGCAGCUGAGAGCUGAACUAGUACUCAGGUGGGUGACCCGAGGGGAAUUCUCGGUGUUGUAUGUU